GAUGAACGCUGGCGGCGUGCCUAAUACAUGCAAGUAGAACGCUGAAGGAAGGAGCUUGCUCUUUCCGGAUGAGUUGCGAACGGGUGAGUAACGCGUAGGUAACCUGCCUGGUAGCGGGGGAUAACUAUUGGAAACGAUAGCUAAUACCGCAUAACAGUAGAUGUUGCAUGAUAUCUACUUAAAAGGUGCAAUUGCACCACUACCAGAUGGACCUGCGUUUUAUUAGCUAGUUGGUGAGGUAACGGCUCACCAAGGCGACGAUACAUAGCCGACCUGAGAGGGUGAUCGGCCACACUGGGACUGAGACACGGCCCAGACUCCUACGGGAGGCAGCAGUAGGGAAACUUCGGCAAUGGACGGAAGUCUGACCGAGGAACGCCGCGGGAGUGAAGAAGGUUUUCGGAUCGGAAAGCUCUGUUGUAAGAGAAGAAAGAGUGUGAGAGUGGAAAGUUCACACUGUGACGGUAUCUUAACAGAAAGGGACGGCUAACUACGUG
rnacentral:rRNA from 1 species